GACAAGGUCAAACAAGCACAUGUUCAGCUGUUAUGGCUGCCGAUAUGGGGAGCUGGUCCCUUCACUAUGUCUUGCACUGUCCAAGGCUCUGGGAGUAACUGUGAAUGCAACAGCACCUGCCCUCAUGGAACCUGCAUCUUAGUGGCCAAGAGGACAACAAGUGAUGGUUCUACAAACGAGACAAAAGGGCCAUGGAUGUAGGAAGAGUACCAUGGGGGAAGAACCUUUCUGUAUAGGGGCCAGGAAGUGUCACCCCCCCACCUAAGGUAACUGAUAAGCUGAGUUGCUAGGAAUGUUAUAGCCAUGUGUGUAUCUGGAAGAAAGAAGAGGCCAAGCAGAGGGAAUGGAUUGAACUUGGACCCAUAAAACCCUCCCCCAGAGAGGAUAUGGCUGGAGAUGGGGCCUAUGAACUGCACAUCUUCAUGAACUUGAGUUGAGAAUGAACACUGGCCAGGUAGUGGAACCCGCUGCGCUUCUUACCAGAGAAGCAAGACAAGGACGCUGAGUGACCUUAGAAAAGAGACUUCGUGGUAACUGUCUAGCUCUUCUUAUCUCUAGGAAAUUCAGAUGCUUGUGAGACCUGCCAUUCUGCCUGGACAUCUUGUCAACGAAGCUACACUGUGAACCCAAGUCCCAGGGUGAUUGAGAAGACAGUCUGGUGUGGAGGAGACGGCCCUAGCAUUUUCUUUCUUCAAUAAGCUUUGAGGUGUUCUGGUCCCCAAAUUGUAGCUAGUAGAGUUGAAGUUUCUCUGGCACCAUUGGAAGAAGGAAGUUUAAAGUGUUUUCUAGAAUAACUGUAAGAAAGGCUCAUAUAGCCAUGGGCUUUCUACUGGCCAUGUCUCAUUUCAGGGCCGUGAUAAGAUGCUCACCUCCCUCAUUCAUAGAAGAAAACAAAGGGGGCAGCUCCACAAAAAGAGUUGGAAAGACUGACUGCUGCCAGGUCUGACAGAAGGCAUGGGCUCCACCAUGGGCAGCAUGUGCCUGAAGGUAAUGGUUAGGAAAGAGACCUGGACAUCUGGGGUGUGGCGAGCAAUCAGAGAUGAAGCACCACACUGUAAGUGCACACUGCACUUAGCUCCCUGCCUGGCUUCCACCUCCUGAAAUUUUCCUUGUCUUCAACAAUCCCCAGCCUCUCUCCAUGCUCGGUCAGCGGUCAGCGACAAGGAUUAGGACUGCUGCUUGAGCACAGGGUGGGGCCUUAUUGUCUCAUUGCUCUGUCACCCAAAAUGGCUGUUGUUCAGGUUGUCAUAAUGGCCUUCCCCCACCAGCCUUCUUUAUCUGCAGACACUCUGGCGCUAGUGGAAGCAAGAUGGCCAGGGCUCUGUGGAGGUUGGAGCAGGCGAGCCAGAAACGCCACCUACUGGUAGAUGUGGCAAUGGCCGACAGAAAUAGAGUUCACUUGUUAGGGGCCCUCAGCUACAGUUCUGGUAGCAGUAGGUGGAGUAACUGUUUUUUAUCUGUACACUUCCUCCACUCUUAGCAUAUAACCUCAUGUUUCUCUGUGGUCACCCUCCUGCCUUCCUAAAAGAACAGUUUUGCUAAUCCUGGAACUUCUAACACGUAAAAUCUCAUGUUGUACACUCUUUUAUAUCUGGUGUGGUGUUUCUGCUUAUGGUUUCUGUCUCUGACUUUUGGUGGACUUUAUUAGCAACUUAUUUCUGUGGUAUUAUGAAUACAACACAGAUGUGCACUUGAUUACCUGUUGAUAAACAGUUUGAUUGACCCAGUUUGGGGCUUUAACAAAUAGCGACAUUAUGACCAUUUCUGUAACAGUCAUUUUGUGGACUUAUAUUUUCAUUUCUUUUCUAGCCCCCAAGGUAAGCACAUGGUUACUUUUGGGCAUGUUAAUUAGGGAAAGUCCUUUUCCCAGUUGCAAUUUGGCUGAGAUGUGACUUCCUCAUCUUACCUAUCCUUGGUGUCUAUUUCUAUGGGUUUUGGUAUACUCAGUGUUCUACAGCCAUUGGUCCUAAUUCUACCACAUUCUCAGCACCCAGAGGAACUCUGUGCCCUUUAUCUACCACUCAAGCCUAUCCCUAGCAAAAGUCUAACUUGUUUUCUGUCUCUAAAGAUCUAUUCUGGACAUGUCUUACAUAAAAAUGUAAUCAUACUGCGUAUAGCCCUUCAUGACUGGCUUCUUCCUUGGCAUGUUUUCAAGGCCAUCCAUGCUGCAUGUGUUCUGUUGGCAACUCACUUCUCUAGGGCUGAAUAAUUACUGUGCAGAGACAUCACAUUUUGUUGAUAAAUUCAACUGAUGGACGUAUAGUGUUUCUAUGGA